GACGAACGCUGGCGGCGUGCCUAAUACAUGCAAGUCGAACGCAGUGGGGACGGGGGAGUAACACGUGGGUAACCUCCCAUCAGAGGGGAUAACACUUGGAAACAGGUGCUAAACCGAUACUGAUGGAUGGACCCGCGGUGCAUUAGCUAGUUGGGGGGGUAACGGGUCACCAAGGCCAAGAUGCAUAGCCGACCUGGAGGGGUGGUCGGCCACACUGGGACUGAGACACGGCCCAGACUCCUACGGGAGGCAGCAGUAGGGAAGCUUCGGCAAUGGACGAAAGUCUGACCGAGCAACGCCGCGUGUGUGAAGAAGGUUUUCGGAUCGUAAAGCUCUGUUGUUAGAGAAGCGGUAUCUAACCAGAAAGCCACGGCUAACUACGUGCCAGCAGCCGCGGUAAUUC
rnacentral:rRNA from 1 species